rnacentral:rRNA from 1 species
UACGUAGGGUGCGAGCGUUAAUCGGAAUUACUGGGCGUAAAGCGUGCGCAGGCGGUUCGUUGUGUCGGCGGUGAAAUCUCCUGGCUCAACUGGGAGCUUGCAGGCGAAACUGCCGUGCUGGAGUGUGGGAGAGGUGCGUGGAAUUCCUGGUGUAGCGGUGAAAUGCGCAGAUAUCAGGAGGAACACCGGUGGCGAAGGCGGGUCUCUGGGCAGUAACUGACGCUGAGGAGCGAAAGCGUGGGGAGCGAACAGG